GCUGGCAAUGAACAAAUUGGUCCUGAGGCUGUCAGAGCCUCCCUGCGAGUACGUGGACUACGUGUACAGCGAAGGAGGGUUCGAGCAAGCAUGUUACGGAUGAAUCCUGGAGCAGCUGCCCUUAGAGCAGUUUUGCGGAGACCAGAACGAAGAACAUAUCAAGUUGCAGGUCCAAACUCAUUGUGGCACAUUGAUGGAAAUCACAAGCUGAUACGGUGGAGGAUAGUCAUUCAUGGGGCUAUUGAUGGAUACAGUCGUCUUGUGGUCUUCCUUCAUGCCUCAAACAACAACCGUAGCAGUACCGUUUUA